rnacentral:rRNA from 1 species
GACCCUACGGGGCGCAGCAGUAGGGAAUCUUCCACAAUGGACGAAAGUCUGAUGGAGCAACGCCGCGUGAGUGAAGAAGGGUUUCGGCUCGUAAAGCUCUGUUGGUAGUGAAGAAAGAUAGAGGGAGUAAAUUGCCUUUAUUUGACGGGAAUUACUUAGAAAGUCACGGGUAACUACGUGCCAGCAGCCGCGGUAAUAAGUAGGUGGCAAGCGUUGUCCGGAUUUAUUGGGCGUAAAGCGAG